rnacentral:rRNA from 1 species
GUCUAUGGCCAUGCCACCCUGAAUGUGCCCGAUCUUGUCUAAUCUUGGAAGCUACGCAAAGUCAGGCCUGGUUAGUACUUGGAUGGGAAACAGGAUAUUGUAGGCG